GGGUAGGGGGGGAAGAGGGGGAACUGAUUUCUUGUGUUCAUGAAUCUCUGCUGGAACAUCUGGCUAACCUGACCUAGGUUUUUACAUGGUUUUUCACAGUACCUUAAGGCAAAUGUUGAUUGGACUUAGUAUCCCUAAUUGGGUGACAAGCACCAAGACGUUUGAAUACAAUAUUUACAAAUCAUCAGCCAUUUAAUACUAUAUAGUUUCCGCUAUGAAGUGUUUUGUGAAAUCAUGAAAGGAAAUGUGGUGUAGGAGCAGUUCUGAAUGUUAUUAAUAAUCGGACACAACUUUCAGCGCCAGAAGAGAUACUGUCCAACAUCAAGAUUGAGCCCAAUGACAGCAACCUGGAGCUUCAGAUAGCCCUCAAGAAAGCAUGGAGACUGAAGCUGCAGGAGGCUGUUACAGAAUCAAAGAACUGUAGAAAAGGUGGCAGAGUCAUUACUGGGGAGAAACACGGAAGGUGGUUCCUUUGUGCUGAAUGCUACCGCAGAAUUCUGCCGUACGUUGGGUGACAUCCCCAUUUAUGGUCUGGCUGGCAACAGGGAUGAGGAUGCUCAGGAACUACUUGACUUGGGGAGGGAAAUGAUUGAAGAGAAGAAACGUCAGGAAGAAGAAGGCAAAUGUGGAGCUUGGAAUGAAGUUGAGAUUGAGAUGAUGAAAAGUUUGGGCGUUGCGAGCGCUACAGUGGUCUGACCUCAGACUUCGAAGAGGAGGAGGCUAGAAACCAAAUGUUAAACUCGACUACAUAGAUGAUGAUGGACACGUACUUAAUGCAAAGGAGGCUUUCAGAUACCUGUCUCAUGAAUUUCAUGGAAAGGGACCUGGCAAAAUAAAGUGGAGAAACGAAUGAAGAAAACUGAACAGGAAGGAUUGAUGAAACAGAUGAGCUCAACAGACACCCACUCGGAAUGCUUAGUCUCUUACAGCAGAAGCAGAAAGAAAUGCAGUCUCCAUUCAUGGUCCUUAGUGGCGGUAAACAAACAUGAGGCAACCAUCUGAAAAACAAAACUGCAAAUUCUUCAUGAAAUAUGCUGGCACCACCUCUGAACUUUGGCGUGUUUUUAUUGUUUCUUACUGUCUGGAAUAUCAUCUCUCUUUUUAAAUAAGACACAGCUUGCAGCUGCCAACAGUGCCUAUGUGUACUGGAAGGAAGGCCACAGAGUUCAUGUCACAUUCAAAUGAGUACAGUGGUUCUCCUGCUUCCUUAGGUAACCUGUUGGCACCUGUAAGCUGGAAAGUACAAUUUCUAGUGAUUAGUUGCUUGUUUAAAGGACUUUAGCCAGAUGAACAGCCUCUAAGCUCAAUCAGACAUGAAGUAAUUAUAUUUGUAAUUUUCAGUGAAUGCAUCCUAUUGUGUAUCAUAUAUUAUUUCUUACUGAAAACCAUCACAACACAACAAUCAAUAAUACUUGUAAGUACCUCUACGAGGUACUUUUGCUACAUGUUUCGGCCUUCAGAAGGCCAUCAUUAGGCAAAUACGUUAAGCUUUUCAUUAUUGAAUUGCAAUAUCAGUUAAGAUGGGCGGUAGGAUUACUUACUGGACACUCCCACCUCAGAGGACACCUUUCCAAACUGGGACUGACAGACGACCUAACU